ACCGUAGAUCCAAAGUCCCUCGCCCAAUUUUGCGGGUAGCUAGCCCACGCUCCAUUCAAUUUUAGUCUGUGUCAAUGGUGGAAAUUGAACCAGCGCAACCACCCCCAACCUUUCCCAAAUUCGGCAUCCAACAUUUGUUGGAGCGUUACACUCAGAACGGCGAUCGAGCGGAGAGACGUUUGCUGUGGUCUGAUCGGUGUAGAGCGACGCAGUCCGCGACCACUUACCGCUACGGAAGGGGACGGCGGGGCGCUGAUGAGGAGCUUCCUUCUUGGAUGAGAGGAAGAGGUGUAGGAGAUAGUCAAAUAGUGAUGACCUGGAUGGAGAGGAAAGGCUUGAAGAAUGGGAGAAUGUGGGCAAUGCGUGAAGGAGUUUGUGAGACUCUUUGAGGAGGUCUGCGUCUCCCCGCUUGCUUGCAAUGCUAUCUGCUACUCCUUCCAUUCCUCCUGUUUCUUCUCCUGUGUUGUUGUGUGCCAAUAAUCAGUAGCUUUCUGGGAUACAACAUGAACAUAGGUCCGAUGACAGAGGAGCAUCUGAUGAUCAAAUUUCUCAGCUAGUCAUUUGGAAAUAUAAAGGAAUUGACACCAAGUUAGGACAUGGAAAUGAUACUGACUGCAUUUUAGGCCCUGCCAAUGAAGAUCCGGAAUGCUGUAUUUGCGUAGCCAAGUACAGAGAAAAGGAAGAACUGAGAAAGUUGCCCUUUCCCAUAUGUUUCAUCUCUAUUGUGUGGAUCAAUGGCUCAAACUCAUAUCAUAUUGUCCUCUUUGUAAACAAGAACCAGAGAGAUAGACACUGGAUUAUUUUGGAUCUGUUUUUCGUUUUUUGUUUUCUUUGAAACAUUCUCUUUUGUGUGUUUUAAUAUACUUUUUUAUAUGGUUACUUGGUGAGUUUAUGUUCGUACAAUUGAGCUCACCGGUAACAAAAACCAUACCUGAGAGUCCAUAAUCAUCUUUGAGCACACCCCACAAAAAUAGCAGGAGAUGGUGUUGGAACUUUUCACUCCCUCAGCACUCCAAGACUUUACAAUACAU